CACCUCUCAGGAUGGCACCUGGAGAGUUUCCAGUACUCUUCUGGUCUCGGCUACAGGAGGGAGAGUCAUGCAGAAGCAUAUUCAUUACAUUCCUAGCUUGGCCAGUGGCUAGAGAGUGGUAGGCAAUCUGCUACAACU